AGAGUUUGAUCCUGGCUCAGGAUGAACGCUAGCGACAGGCCUAACACAUGCAAGUCGAGGGGCAGCAUUGUAGCUUGCUACAGAUGGCGACCGGCGCACGGGUGAGUAACGCGUAUGCAACCUACCUUUCACAGGGGGAUAGCCCAGAGAAAUCUGGAUUAAUACCGCAUAAUAUAUUUGAUUCGCAUGGAAUGAAUAUUAAAACUUCGGUGGUGAAAGAUGGGCAUGCGUAGCAUUAGUUAGUUGGUAAGGUAACGGCUUACCAAGACAAUGAUGCUUAGGGGGUCUGAGAGGAUAGUCCCCCACACUGGUACUGAGACACGGACCAGACUCCUACGGGAGGCAGCAGUGAGGAAUAUUGGUCAAUGGGCGAGAGCCUGAACCAGCCAUGUCGCGUGCAGGAUGACGGCCCUAUGGGUUGUAAACUGCUUUUUUACAGGAAUAAACUUUGCUACGAGUAGCGAACUGAAGGUACUGUAGGAAUAAGGAUCGGCUAACUCCGUGCCAGCAGCCGCGGUAAUACGGAGGAUUCGAGCGUUAUCCGGAUUUAUUGGGUUUAAAGGGUCCGUAGGCGGGCUGUUAAGUCAGUGGUGAAAUCCCAGAGCUCAACUCUGGAACUGCCAUUGAAACUGAUAGUCUUGAAUAUGGUUGAGGUAGGCGGAAUACGUUAUGUAGCGGUGAAAUGCAUAGAUAUAACGUAGAACGCCAAUUGCGAAGGCAGCUUACUAAGCCAUUAUUGACGCUGAUGGACGAAAGCGUGGGGAGCGAACAGGAUUAGAUACCCUGGUAGUCCACGCCGUAAACGAUGAUUACUCGUUGUGCACAAUACACCGUGCGUGACUGAGCGAAAGCAUUAAGUAAUCCACCUGGGGAGUACGUUGGCAACAAUGAAACUCAAAGGAAUUGACGGGGGCCCGCACAAGCGGAGGAACAUGUGG
rnacentral:rRNA from 1 species